UACGUAGGGUGCGAGCGUUUAAUCGGAAUUACUGGGCGUAAAGCGUGCGCAGGCGGUUUUGUAAGCCAGAUGUGAAAUCCCCGGGCUUAACCUGGGAAUGGCAUUUGGGACUGCAAGGCUUGAGUUUGGCAGAGGAGACUGGAAUUCCUGGUGUAGCAGUGAAAUGCGUAGAUAUCAGGAGGAAUACCGAUGGCGAAGGCAGGUCUCUGGGCUAGAACUGACGCUCAUGCACGAAAGCGUGGGGAGCAAACAGG
rnacentral:rRNA from 1 species